UACGAAGGGGGCUAGCGUUACUCGGAAUCACUGGGCGUAAAGCGCACGUAGGCGGAUCUUUAAGUCAGGGGUGAAAUCCCGAGGCUCAACCUCGGAACUGCCUUUGAUACUGGGGAUCUCGAGUCCGGGAGAGGUGAGUGGAACUGCGAGUGUAGAGGUGAAAUUCGUAGAUAUUCGCAAGAACACCAGUGGCGAAGGCGGCUCACUGGCCCGGAACUGACGCUGAGGUGCGAAAGCGUGGGGAGCAAACAGG
rnacentral:rRNA from 1 species